GAUGAACGCUGGCGGCGUGCCUAAUACAUGCAAGUCGAGCGAACAGAUAAGGAGCUUGCUCCUUUGACGUUAGCGGCGGACGGGUGAGUAACACGUGGGUAACCUACCUAUAAGACUGGGUUAACUUCGGGAAACCGGAGCUAAUACCGGAUAAUAUUUCGAACCGCAUGGUUCGAUAGUGAAAGAUGGUUUUGCUAUCACUUAUAGAUGGACCCGCGCCGUAUUAGCUAGUUGGUAAGGUAACGGCUUACCAAGGCGACGAUGCGUAGCCGACCUGAGAGGGUGAUCGGCCACACUGGAACUGAGACACGGUCCAGACUCCUACGGGAGGCAGCAGUAGGGAAUCUUCCGCAAUGGGCGAAAGCCUGACGGAGCAACGCCGCGUGAGUGAUGAAGGUCUUCGGAUCGUAAAACUCUGUUAUUAGGGAAGAACAUACGUGUAAGUAACUGUGCACGUCUUGACGGUACCUAAUCAGAAAGCCACGGCUAACUACGUG
rnacentral:rRNA from 1 species